UGCAGUCGAACGAAGUAGCAAUACUUAGUGGCAGACGGGUGAGUAACAUGUAGGUAUCUACCCUUUGGCCUGGAAUAACACGAGGAAACUUGUGCUAAUACCGGAUAAGUCUUUACGGAGAAAGCUUUAUGCACCAUUGGAUGAGCCUGCACUUGAUUAGUUUGUUGGUGGGGUAAUGGCCUACCAAGACUGUGAUCAAUAGCUGAUUUGAGAGGAUGAUCAGCCACAUUGGGACUGAGACACGGCCCAAACUCCUACGGGAGGCAGCAGUGGGGAAUCUUGCACAAUGGAGGAAACUCUGAUGCAGCGAUGCCGCGUGAGUGAAGAAGGCCUUUGGGUUGUAAAGCUCUUUCGUCGGGGAAGAAAAUGACUGUACCCGAAUAAGAAGGUCCGGCUAACUUCGUGCCAGCAGCCGCGGUAAUACGAAGGGACCCAGCGUAGUUCGGAAUUACUGGGCUUAAAGAGUUCGUAGGUGGUUGAAAAAGUUAGUGGUGAAAUCCCAGAGCUUAACUCUGGAACUGCCAUUAAAACUUUUCAGCUAGAGUAUGAUAGAGGAAAGCAGAAUUUCUAGUGUAGAGGUGAAAUUCGUAGAUAUUAGAAAGAAUACCAAUUGCGAAGGCAGCUUUCUGGAUCAUUACUGACACUGAGGAACGAAAGCAUGGGUAGCGAAGAGGAUUAGAUACCCUCGUAGUCCAUGCCGUAAACGAUGUGUGUUAGACGUUGGAAAUUUAUUUUCAGUGUCGCAGCGAAAGCGAUAAACACACCGCCUGGGGAGUACGACCGCA
rnacentral:rRNA from 1 species